CAUCAGGAUUGAGGGAAAGGUGCAGAACAAAUUACAGAGAUAUCCUUAAUGAAAACCUGGUCCUGAGUGUUCAGGACCUCAUACUGGUCCAAAGAGGUCAUCCUCCAACUGAACAAUGACCCUGGACGAACAGUUAAACAUAGACUUUGGGACAACUCUGUAAAUUUCCUCGAGUGGUCUAACCCGAGACCUGACAUGAACCAAAUUAAACAUCUCUAGAGAGCUUUAGAAAAUCUGCAGAGAAGAACGACAGAAAAUCUCCAAAUCCAGGCUUUCAGCAGCUUGGGCCUCUUGUCCUCCACAGUCUCUCUGGACUGUUGCUUCAGCUUCCUCAGCAGCGCCGUGACUGGAGGACACAGACGAACAAAAAAGACAAACGCAGAUGAAGAAAAAGCACAAUGGCAAGAGUAAUGCAGUAUUGAUGUAGGACCGUACAGAUGUGGUCCAGAUAUUUUCACAACAAAUGCUCCGCUAAACAUUUCAGCAACAUGCUCAGAGAGAGCUAUGUUGACUUCCUGCAGCCACAUGGGGCACUCCGAGCAGCGUCCGACCAAUCCCUGCGCACCACCUGCCGGGAUUAAACCAUUCCAGGAAGUUCAAAGGGAACGACCCUGGCAGACAUGGAGCUGCCUGCUAAUGAGCUGCCCCCAUAACUCCUUAAUGACCUGGGAGAGACACACUCCAAGCAGGCUCUUAACCGUGAGGGGCUACAUUAACAAGCCAUCACAUCUCUUCACAUCCCAGUGGCUGCAGGAGCCCUGCUUGUUAAUGUAAGCAUUCAUUUGAAUGUCAUUUGCUGUAUAUAAGCGGAAUGGGAGCAUCAGCAUCCCAUCGACAUAACUGUGGUGCUUUUAUGGAGCCAGGAGGGGAUUAAAUUACCACUUGCAAAACUCAUGGAAACAGUGAUGAAAAAAGAAAAUAUUUG